AACGAACGCUGGCGGCAUGCCUAACACAUGCAAGUCGAACGAGACCUUCGGGUCUAGUGGCGCACGGGAGCGUAACGCGUGGGAACCUGCCCUUAGGUUCGGAAUAACUCCCCGAAAGGGGUGCUAAUACCGGAUAAUGUCUUCGGACCAAAGAUUUAUCGCCUUUGGAUGGGCCCGCGUUGGAUUAGCUAGUUGGUAGGGUAAAAGCCUACCAAGGCGACGAUCCAUAGCUGGUCUGAGAGGAUGAUCAGCCACACUGGGACUGAGACACGGCCCAGACUCCUACGAGAGGCAGCAGUGGGGAAUAUUAGACAAUGAGCGAAAGCCUGAUCCAGCAAUUCCGCGUGAGUGAUAAAGGCCUUAGGGUUGUAAAGCUCUUUUACCCGGGAUGAUAAUGACAGUACCGGGAGAAUAAGCUCCGGCUAACUCCGUG
rnacentral:rRNA from 1 species